UACGUAGGGGGCUAGCGUUGUCCGGAUUUAUUGGCGUAAAGAGCGUGUAGGCGGCCAGGUAGGUCUGCUGUGAAAACUCGAGGCUACAACCCGUCGAGACGUCGGAUGGAAACCAUCUAGCUAGAGUCCGGAAGAGGAGAGUGGAAUUCCGUGGUGUAGCGGUGAAAUGCGCAGAUAUUGGGAAGAACGACCAGUGGCGAAGGCGGUUCUCUGGGACGGUACGUGACGCUGAGACGCGGAAAAGCGUGGGGAGCG
rnacentral:rRNA from 1 species